UACGUAGGGGGCUAGCGUUGUCCGGAUUUAUUGGGCGUAAAGAGCGUGUAGGCGGCCAGGUAGGUCUGCUGUGAAAACUCGAGGCUCAACCUCGAGAUGUCGGCGGAAACCAUCUGGCUAGAGUCCGGAAGAGGAGAGUGGAAUUCCUGGUGUAGCGGUGAAAUGCGCAGAUAUCAGGAAGAACACCCGUGGCGAAGGCGGCUCUCUGGUACGGGACUGACGCUGAGACGCGAAAGCGUGGGGAGCAAACAGG
rnacentral:rRNA from 1 species